rnacentral:lncRNA from 1 species
UUAGAAUUAACUUUGUGCCUUUAUUACUUAAAGUAAAAGUGAUUUCUGGACCUUUUUGAAGCAUUGGAUGCCAUAUUUCAGUUCGUGGCUUAAAUCUCAACAAGAAACUGGCUUUGGCCAUUGGUCAUCUGAAGGGAAUGGCAUUGCGCACAGAACUCUUUGUUGAAACGGAAAGGUCCGCUGGGUACAGGGGCUGUUUCCUGUAAUCCUAGCUACUUGGGAAGCAGAGGCAGGAGGAUCGUUUGAGGCCAGGAGUUUGAGACCAGCCUGGGCAACACAGCAAGACCCCCAUCGCUUAAGAGAAAAGAAGGAAUGGAAAGUUCAGCUGUCCUCACCCUUAGCUGCACCGGGGCAGGCCCACUGAGGAGCACAAGAUAGGGUUUCUGGUCAACGAAGGAAUGCCACUUCAAAGCAGAGGACACAGGAAUGGGGAAGAAAACGAGCCGCUAAGAGAAGAUUUCUCAUCCCCUUGUGAGAGAAGAAAUCACGAUCGCAGGGCUCUGAAGUUUAUGUAAAACUCAUCGGAACGGGUGGCCGUGAGACCGAACCAACAGCUCGGAGAACACCCUUCUGCAGCUGCACAGCUUUGCUUUGUUUAUUUGCUUGUUUUUGUGUGUGUGUUUGUUUUUAAAAUAGGUAUUCUUUUUUUUUUCUUUAAAUAGGUAUUCUGUUAUAAAUGAAAUCAACAAAAUACGAGAAAAUGAGGACCGUAUCUUCGUCUAUUUCAUCACAAAACUGUCCCGGGUGGGAAGAGGAACAGCCUAUGUGGGCUUCCACGGAGGUGAGAUCAGAACAUCAGUCAGGGUAUUUAUUUAUGUAUUUAUUUAUUUAUUUGUAUCUAUUUAUUUUUUGAGAUGGAGUCUUGCUCUGUCACCAGGCUGGAGUGCAGUGGCGCGAUCUCAGCUCACUACAACCUCAAUAUCCUGGGUUCAAGCGAUUCUCCUGCCUCAGCCUCCCAAGUAGCUGGGAUUACAGGCGUGCGCCACCACGCCCAGCUAAUUUUUGUAUGUUUAGUAGUGAUGGGGUUUCACCACGUUGGCCUAGAUGGUCUCAAUCCGUUGACCUCAUGAUCCGCUCGCCCCAGCCUCCCAAAGUGCUGGGAUUACAGGUGUGAGCCACCGCACCCAGCCCAGUCAGCAUAUUUAUUUAAGUCAUGUUGGAACUGUUUCUCAUUUGGUUCUGUGUUGUACAGUCUGAAAUUAGAAUAUUAUUGUUAACCUCAAGAGGAUUCUUUCCAGAUGCGAUUAGAUUUCUUACCACUGAUUACCAUGAAAACAUGAAUCCUGGGAUGGGAGGCUGCGUGCACCUCUCCUGGACUGACCGUAGGCAAGCUCCUCACCUCUUAGCAUGUGGGUCACACGGCGUGGAGACUCCCGACUCCCGACGGACACUGUCAGGAACGCACCGAUACGCCUGUUUGGCGGGGAGGGAGAGUGGCGGGGGUCGGACUAUCUUCAGAUCUCUUUUUUUCCAAGGAAUGGUCACCAGCUAUUUAUGACAUAGAAAAGUUGGUAUUCCAGAAACAGGAAAGUAAGUUUACUUGAAUAAUUUCGUGGAGAAUGGAAGGCAGACCUUGCCAGUGUCCCCCACCCCUCACUAACUGUGAUACAGCAAAUACAACAAUGCAUGGGUGAAAGAACCACAGGCCUUAUCCACGCGUCCUUCCCACGCCGGCCAUUGCAGGUCUUACCGUUGCUGCUUGUGGUGAAGCUGUCGAUGGGCAUAGAAUCGGGUCGUGUAUAGUAUCGGGUUGGGUGGUUUCUGCGCAGGCCCAUUCCAGGGUUUCGGCUUCAGGGUGCCAGUCAUUCGUUGCGCAGCAAGAUAAUGACAAGCCAGGGUGUGCAAUGUCCCUGCUUAGGGCUGAGCAGCAGCCGGGAAAGACACAAGACAGUUGUGGGUGGCUUCACUCUUCACAGGGCUGUGGCAGUCUGUCCACAUCGAUGACCUCCGGAGAUCCACCCUCAUGGUUUCUGAUGUGACCAGGCUGCAGCAUGUCACCAUCAGCCAGCUGUUCGCGCCCGGAGACUUGCCUGAGCUGGGCUUGGAACACUGGGCAGAAGACGGCCAUGAGGAGGCGAUGGAAACGGAGGCCAGCACAUCAGGGGAGGUGGCAGAGGUGGCAGAGGAGGCCAUGGAAACAGAAAGUUCUGAGAAGGGGGGAAAGGAAACCUCUGAACUCGGAGGCAGUGAUGUAAGUUCUGGUUCUCGGGACCUCCCCUUGUGCUGCUGGUGAUGCUUCUGAGCUGCAUCUUUAAACGCUUUUGCAUUGGGAGCUAGAGGAGUCACCGCCGCUGUGCAGGGGUGAGGAUGGCGCCCCACUUUCCUCACACAGUGACGGUCUUGUUGCUGGUUACUGGGGGUUACUGGGGGUCAAGGGCAUCUGCACCGGCAGUUUCGGGGGUGCAGGGCGGAG